CAGUUUUGAAAUUUUUUUUUAUUAUCUAUGAGCCUGUAUAUAUGUUUUAAACAAUGACAUCUCAAAUUAUUUCUGAACCUGUUAAAAAAUAUAAAUAGUAUAUUUGAAGAAAAGAUGGUAUAGUUUUAAAUUUUAGUAGUUUCAUAUAUAUAUAUAAUUUUUAAUUUGAAAUUAAACCUUAAAGUUAGAAAUACACUACAAGAAAUAUGAGUAUCAGUAGCAGUUCGCGAUAGCACGAUUUCACAAACUGCUACCAAAAGUGUUAAAAUCGGAUCACAACUCUAUUGUAGCAUUAAAAUCGCGCUAGUAAAAAAUUUCAUUAAGCGGGAACAUGAAAACCAAUACUUUAGCUGAAAAGUGAUUUUAGAGUAAAACACUUGGCCAAUUUUCAGCUUUUUUUUUUUGUUCUCACUCACGACACAAAUUUUUUUUUUUUACUUGAAUCGAUCUACCUUCUUCUUCCAUCUGCUUCAGUUGUAAACCUCAGACUAGUUUUUGUAAAAGAUGAACGAACUGGGUUCUUCUCUAAUCGAAAACACCAUCGUCACCUUGUUCAAAAUCGAAACUUAGGAACCCUAAUCCGCCUUCUGUAAUUACUCCUCCGCCUUCCUCUGUCGCUCUUCACCACCAUCUUCUCUAGAUUCACACUCUCAUUCUCCCUCCUCCACUGGCUACGACAAUUCGAGCUCGAGGAUUGUUCUCAAGAAAGAAGAUGAAUUUGUGUUAUCAUAUCCACUCCUCUGUCCUCAAGCUUCCCCAUUUCUUCACUCCAAAGGUCUCUUCUUUCUCUAUCCCUCUCUUUCGAGCAACCCCUUUACCCUCUGCGCGUGAUUGGUCACCGAUAAACAAUCAAGUUUAACACUUUCGAGUUUUUUUCCAUGUCUCAGAGCUUUAUGGCGUCUCAUCGGCGAGAAUUGAGAGUGUUCAAAGUGGCAACAACCACAGAAGAGGCGUCUGGUAACAUAUAAGACAGCUCCAAUAUCUCUACCUGAAGGCUCGUGGAAACAGGUAGAGAGAUCUUCUUGAUUCUGUUAAAAGUUUGAAAGAUUGAAUCUUUCUUGUUUGUUUAGGUAGCUGGUGGAGUUACAGCUGCUGGUAUGUAUGCUGGAUUUCGGGCGUCAGGGAAGAAGCCUAAUCUUGCUCUUGUAACCUGUGAUGUCGGUGCUGUAGCUGCAGGUCCAAAUGCUAGCUAUCUUUGUGGUGCUUAAUAUUUAUUCAGUGGCAAAUACGUUUCUGAUUUUUUUUUUCUGUCAGGGGUGUUUACAAUGAAUGUGGUUGCUGCUCCUGUAGUUUACUGCAAGAAGGUUCUUGGUUCCUCUGAGGUAAGACUCUUUUCUUUUGGCUCAGCUUGAUUGGAGAGAGUCAAGAUUAAAACAAUUGAGUGUUAACCCUCAAAGCAUGAACACAGUCUAUGGCUUAUUUUUUCCAUACACUAACAACUAAAGAUGUGGGCCAAGAGUUUGUAGUGCUUGUACUAAUCAGCACAGUCUGCUACUUCUUAUUCCUUGAACAUUUACUGGUUCGUGACUUGAAAUCAUAAGCUAUCUUAUCGCCAUUUUCAUUCACCUUAGGACGAAGCAGAGGUUUCGGGUUUGUGACUAUGUCUUAUGUCUGAAGUUGAGGCAGCUGCUCCGCAGUUUAAUGGCUAUGUAGGAAUAUACAUAUACUCUUAACAACACUUAUUUCUCAGGCUCUAGAGAGUGUAGAUAAAGCUCUUGUGUCUCGACUAGUAGUAAGAGUAUGUGUAGCAGCUGAAGCAAUGGAGAAAAGCCUGUGCCUCGACAAUAUCUUGGGAUCGGUUGUUGUGUGAGCAAAAGGGCCAAGAGAACGUUUUCAGACCACAUCCUCUCACUGCAGACCUUGGCCUAUAUACCAAAUCGUAUCAUCACCAGCGGUAAGAGCAGGAGCUCUUACAUUUUCACUCAACAAAAACGUAGGGGUAUCAACCAGGGCGCCAUGAUUGUGUGGGAAGUGAGUUCUUCCUUCUCUCGCUCUCUCUCUCCUUUGUAUUUCUAGCUGUAUAAAGAGUGGCGUUGUGCUUGCGUUUGUUGGAUUUUAUGUCUGAGGAUGUGACCUUUUGUGGUGUAUUCGAUGGUUGGUCCUCUCUGUCAUCUUGUUGCUUGAGUGAUAGAUACAUUGCCUGUGAAGUUGCAGUCUUUCUUUCAUGUCUGAGAUACAUUGAACAUUAACAAGAUGCUUGUGUCUGGAAGUGAAGAUGAUAAGUGUAAGACUUGAAAAGAUUCUAUGUAAAAUAUAUGUUUUAUAAGUUUAUUGAAUAUAAUUUUGAGCUCAGUUCAUGGACUUGGAUCAAACCAAGGUUAAAAGUGAUGAACUUUUGUUUUAAGGCAAGCGUAAAAUGAAGAAGUAAACAAAAUGUUUAAACCAAAUAUAAUUUUGUAAACCAAUUUUGGAACCGGUUAAAAUUUUGUAAGCACAUUCAGAUUUAUUAAAAUUUUUUUUUUUGUUUUUUGUGGUUUUUGAAAAAAAAAAGCAAAACCCUAAACCCUAAACAUGUUUUUAAACCCUAAAUAUGAGCUUUAAACUUCAGUCUUUUCAUAAUAUAACUCUAAAUCUUAAAACCGCAACCUAAAUGCAAUACUCUAAACCCCAAAUUCCAACGGUAUAUACAAAGUCAUGAAUAUAAUCUCUACAGAUAAUAUUAUUAGGUUAUUACUAAACUAAACCCUAUUCCUUAUAUAAACUAUAACUUUAUUUGUUUUAUUUUCAAAUAUCUAUCUUAACCACUAUUAUAUUAUCACAAACCUUAAACCACAUACUUUAAACUUAACUACAACUAUAUAAACUAAUAGUCAAUAAUGGUAGUAUUAAUUAGAAGAUUUUAAAAUUUAAGUCGUAAUUUAGUCUUUUUAAUUUUAAUCUAUAAAUUCCAAAACAUAAAUCUUAAACUAAAUUAGAAAUAACAAAACAUAAUUUUUUAAAAAAUAUUAAACUUUAAAUCCUAAACUAUAAGCAGAAACCUUUAAUCUAAAAUCUAUACUUUAAAUGUAAACUAUAAACCUUAAACCCCAAAACUUAAUCCCAAACCCCAAAACUUAAUCCCAAACCUUAUUCUCCAAACUCUAAAUAUACUUCAAACUUAAAACUUUAGAUAUAAACUUUAAACUUUAUAUCAUAAAUCUAAACUUUGAAUCUAAACUAUAUUUUUGGAAACUUAACUAUGAACUUUAGUAUUAAACCCCAAAUCCUAUCCCCUGACCCCCAAACUCUACUCCCAAAACCCAAACCAUAUUCCCAAAAAUUCAACAAACAUCAAAUCUAAAUCUUAAUAACAAACCUUUAUAUACAACUCUAACCCUUAUACUUUCAAAACUCUAAAUCCCUAAAUCAUAAAGAAUUAUAAUAGAAAGUUUAAAUUUAAAUUCAAGUAUAUAUAUAUAUAUAUAUAUAUAUAUUAUUUUUUUUUGUCACAGAUUCAAGUAUAUUCUAAGACUCAAAUUAUAUACUUAUUCAGAAUAUAACCAUCAAAAACUUGUAAUUAUUCAACAUGUCUAAGCUUUUAUUUAGAAUCUCGAAAUUUAAAUUGCAAUUUUUAUUACUUUCUAUAGAUUAUGCACUUUAAUAAUAAAACUAAACAACAUGAUAAUCAAAACACAAAAGAAACACUAAAAGUAAGUGUCAAUCCGUAAACUUCUUUCUCAUUGGUUGAGAAGGGCAGAGAUUACCGGUUAUUAUAUCACAGCCGUCUAUCUCACCUCCUUUUACAUUAUUCUUCUUCUUUUUAAUAGCAAUCCUAGUGAUUCUUUUCUAUUGGCUUAUACAAGAAAGUGGGGAUAACUUCUUUUUGUAAUCUUAACCGUUGAUGAAUUUAAUCUAAGGGACAUAAACAUUUGCUUCUUUUUUUUAAUGGGUUUUCUCUCUCUCGAUCUCUGCUCCUCUCAUCUUCUACCGAAAACCUGAAAGAAAAAUCUCUACUCUAAUCAAGAAACCACCUCUGAAUCGUCGAGUUUGAGUCUUACACCGUUUGAAUUCGAACCUUUCUUUGUAAAGUUCUGAGCUUUACUCAUGGCAGCUUAUGCUCGUACCUUCGCCUCGUUGACCCAUCUCCAGCAAACCUUCUCGCCGCCGAUACCUCUUCUCCGACGACAUCACAGCGCCAAACCCACUUCCCGAAUCACCUACAAUAAAUUCGUAGCUCCAUCUUUUCUCCUACUCUGGAAUAAACCCUCCAUCUUUUACGAAGGACUCCACUUCUCACCUCGUUGGUUCAUGUCUCGAGCCCAAGAGAAUCUCCAAUCAAAACAGAAUCUGACAUCGACUAAGCCAUCGAGGAUAAGCAGAAGAUGAAGAAGAUGAAGAACAUCAGCAGACAGAGAGAAGAGGCGGAAGCAGAAGAAUAAGCAACGACGGAGGAGUUUCAUAGAUGGAGGUUGUGGCGGCGGAGGAGGCAGAGCGAGGGAGACGUGCGGAGGAGGCGGUGCGAAGGAGUUAUAGGGAUAUUUUUGGUUUUUUUUUGUUAGAUUUAGAUUUUAAACCCGGUUUAGUUUUUGGUACAUUAUAGUGCUUUUUGCA